CAAGCAUCCCAAAUUAGACGAAAGUCUGACGGAGCGACGCCGCGUGAGCGAAGAAGGUCUUCGGAUCGUAAAGCUCUGUUGUUAGGGAAGAAGAAGUACCGUUCGAAUAGGGCGGUACGGUGACGGUACCUAACGAGAAAGCCCCGGCUAACUACGUGCCAGCAGCCGCGGUAAUACGUAGGGGGCGAGCGUUGUCCGGAAUUAUUGGGCGUAAAGCGCGCGCAGGCGGUCCCUUAAGUCUGAUGUGAAAGCCCACGGCAUCAACCGUGGAGGGCCAGUUGGAAACUGGGGGACUUGAGUGCAGAAGAGGAGAGCGGAUUUCCACGUGUAUGCGGCUGGAAAUGCGUAUAGAUGUGGAGGAACACCCAAGUGGCGAAGGCGGGCUCUCUGGUCUGUUUACUUGACUCUGAAGGCGUCUAAAGCGUUGUUGGGAGCAAAGGGGAUUUAGAUACCCCUGGUCAGUCUCACCGCCUGUUUAACGCAUUGGGUUGCCUACUAACUGCUUAGGAUGUGGUGUCAAAAACCCGCUUCUAAAUUGGCUGUAGCCUUAACCGCGUUUAUGCAAUCUCCCUUCCUGGGGCGGUAUGCAUACCAUGUCCUUUCUGAGUUCUUAAAAAUCUCCAAAUGGUAACUUUGUACCUUGGCGGUGGUCUCCUUUCCUGCAAUAGCUGGCGUUGGUAAAUUAAUCCUUUUUUCCUAGAUUUGUGCGCAAAGGCCGUCCGCNCGCAUACGUAAUCUCUUGUAACCCGCUGCGUUUUUUCUCCAUAUGUUCGCCCCUGUACUAGACACCUUGUUUCGUAGCUCACUUAGGUAUGCAUUAUUCUCCCACCUAUAACGNGGAGGGCCGUUAUACUGAG
rnacentral:rRNA from 1 species